rnacentral:rRNA from 1 species
GUAUCCAAAAAGUUCACGUUGAAAGCACCGGUUCUCGUCUGAUCACCGAAGUUAAGCAACAUCGAGCCUAGUUAGUACUUAGAUGGGUGACCACUUGGGAAACCUAGGUGCUGUAAGCA